UGAGGCGCCUUUUCCUGCGCCCGCAGCCCCCGCCUCCCACCUGGGAGGCUGCACCUCCAGCCGCCGCCGCCGCCGGGACUGCAGCACGCCCUCCUCCCUCGGGGCUGCGCCGGACACCAACUUCUGGAAGGACACGGCUUUUUCUUACUCAUUGUAUCCCCACCUAGCACCUAGAUUGCUGUCUGAGACGGGGAGAAUGAACACCGGAGUACAGCCUGAACUCACAUUCCCGUCUCCCAACUGCAGAUCCCACGUGGCGCCUGCUACCCACAGCACUGCGUCAUUGAGAAUUCCGUGGGGCUGCCACGUGGCUUUAGGGUACCCCCAUCUCCUUUGUAUCAGUGCUGUCACCCACUGGAUCUCAUUCAGUCCUUGUCAGUAGAGUGAUUCAAGCACUCUUUUCUCUACCACACUGAGCAGAAACAGAGGCUCAGGCCUUCCUUUGAUUAAAUUCCAUGUCACUCAAGUUUCAACCUGAGAAUGUCAACAUUUGACAAGGCAGUUUGCAUUUUGUCUGCUCACGGUGCUAUGUAUCUCAAAAUAACGAUAGCUCUUUCUUCGUCUUGCCUUUUGGACCUAGAAGUCUCCGUCCCUGUUAGCUGAGGUCUAUAACCAGCCCUUCCAAAAUGUUCAUUGCCAUUUCUCAGCCCUCCUCUGUGUUCAGCACCAACAGGCUGAAACUGCACACGUAUCCUGUUUGCCAACAUAUCAGUCUUUGAGGAGCCCUUCUGUCCGCAGACCAUUAUGCAGAACCCCCCGUGUUUUCCCUUGCAUUUCUGUCUAGAACCAUAUUGGGCUGAAGUUCCCCAGAAACGGUGGACACUCAAUGCCAGGUCCUUUCCUUGGUUAUCACUAGUAGCUUGACUUUCUCAGUUUCCUGGGCAGUAUUUGGAGUCUGGUCUCUAGAGUCACCUCCUUGCCUUGUCCUCAUUAAAAGUCAGCUCCCACUUCUUUACCCACUUCCUCAGGUCCACGAGAACCCACAGUCCUUGCCGUCACUACUCCACACAUCCCGAGUCACUACUCCACACACCCCGAGUCAUCCGCAAACCUCGGAGAGCUCCUCAUGCACUCCCUCCCUCCAGAGUAGUUUUACAUGUUAAUUAAACAGCCCUUAGCCCUGUCUCUAAGGAACUCCUUUCACAAAUGUGCCAUUUAUCCCUAUCCUUUGUUUCCUGGCUCCUUUCCUAGA